rnacentral:rRNA from 1 species
GCACAGAAGUUAGCCGGUGCUUAUUCUGUCGGUAACGUCAAAACACCAACGUAUUAGGUUAAUGCCCUUCCUCCCAACUUAAAGUGCUUUACAAUCCGAAGACCUUCUUCACACACGCGGCAUGGCUGGAUCAGGCUUUCGCCCAUUGUCCAAUAUUCCCCA